AUGAAUCGGCAAUGGAUGUACGGUAACCGACUCUCCGGCGAGUUCACUACGGGUUUGAAAGAUUUCCUCGUAGUGGCUAAUGCGAACAAGCAGGGGGGUUUUGUUAUCUGUCCAUGUGUUAUCUGUAAGAAUCAGAAGGGUUACUCUUCCUCAAGAGAUGUUCACAUGCAUCUGCUUCGGCACGGUUUCAUGCCAAGCUAUAAUUGUUGGACCAAGCAUGGAGAAAGAGGGGUUAUAAUGGAAGAAGAUGAAGAAGGGGAUGAUUUCAUCGAUGAAAGCUAUCUUGCUCAUUUCGGUGAUACUUUCAUGGAGGAUGCUGAAGGUGAAGGGGAAGGUGAAGAAGAGGCACGUGAUGAUCCCGUUGAUGAUCUUGGUCGGACCAUUGCUGAUGCACGGAGACGCUACGAAACUGAAAAGGAGAGGGAGAAUUUGGAUCGCAUGUUAGAGGAUCACAGAAAGGCGCUGUACCCCGGAUGCGAUGAUGGUCUGAAAAAGCUGGGCUGCACACUGGAUUUGCUGAAAUGGAAGGCAGAGGCAGGUGUAGCUGACUCGGCAUUUGAAAACUUGCUGAAAAUGUUGAAGAAUAUGUUUCCAAAGGAUAACGAGUUGCCCGCCAGUACGUACGAAGCAAAGAAGGUUGUCUGCCCUCUAAGUUUAGAGGUUCUGAAGAUACAUGCAUGCAUCAACGACUGCAUCCUCUACCGCGGUGAAUACGAGAAUUUGAAUGAAUGCCCGGUAUGCACUGCAUUGCGUUAUAAGAUCAGAGGCGAUGACCCUGGUGACGAUGUUGAGGGCCAGAAACCCAGGAAGAGGGUUCCCGCCAAGGUGAUGUGGUAUGCUCCUAUAAUACCACGGUUGAAACGUCUGUUCAGGAACAAAGAGCAUGCCAAGUUGUUGCGAUGGCACAAAGAGGACCGUAAGUCGGACGGGGAGUUGAGACACACCGCAGAUGGAACGCAAUGGAGAAAGAUCGACAGAUGGUUCAAAGAUUUUGCAGCUGACGCAAGGAACAUAAGAUUUGCUCUAAGUACGGAUGGCAUGAAUCCUUUUGGCGAGCAGAGCUCCAGCCAUAGCACCUGGCCCGUGACUCUAUGCAUCUACAACCUUCCUCCUUGGUUGUGCAUGAAGCGGAAGUUCAUUAUGAUGGCAGUGCUCAUCGAAGGUCCGAAGCAACCCGGCAACGACAUCGAUGUGUACCUAAGGCCAUUAGUUGAUGAACUUUUACAGCUGUGGGGUGGUGUCCGUGUGUGGGAUGAGCACAAACAAGAGGAAUUUGACCUACGAGCGUUGCUUUUCGAAACCAUCAACGAUUGGCCUGCUCUUAGUAACCUUUCGGGACUGUCAAAUAAGGGAUACAAUGCAUGCACGCACUGCUUACAUGAGACUGAAAGUGUACAUUUGCCAAAUUGUAAGAAGAACGUGUACCUUGGGCAUCGUCGAUUUCUUCCGAAAAUUCAUCCAGUAAGAAAGAAAGGCAAGCAUUACAACGGCAAGGCAGAUCACCGGCCGAAGCCUGCGGAACGCACUGGUGCUGAGGUAUUUGAUAUGGUCAAGGAUUUGAAAGUCAUCUUUGGAAAGGGUCCUGGCGGACAAUCAGUUCCGAAGGGAGCUGACGGGCACGCAGCCAUGUGGAAGAAGAAAUCUAUAUUCUGGGAGCUAGAAUAUUGGAAAGUCCUAGAUGUCCGCUCUGCAAUCGACGUGAUGCACGUUACGAAGAAUAUUUGCGUGAACCUCCUAAGCUUCUUGGGCGUGUAUGGGAAGACAAAUGAUACAAAGGAAUCACGGCAGGACCAGCAACGUUUGAAAGACCCUGAUGACCGGCAUCCGGAAUGGUUUCAAGGUCGUGCCAGCUACGCUCUGACCAAAGAAGAGAAGGUCAUCUUUUUUGAAUGCCUGAGCAGUAUGAAGGUCCCGUCUGGAUUCUCGUCCAAUAUAAAGGGAAUAAUAAACAUGGCGGAGAAAAAGUUCCAAAACCUGAAGUCUCACGACUGCCACGUGAUUAUGACGCAAUUGCUUCCGAUUGCUUUGAGGGGGCUCCUGCCGGAAAAUGUUCGAGUAGCCAUUGUGAAGCUAUGUGCAUUCCUCAAUGCAAUCUCUCAGAAGGUAAUCAAUCCAGAAGUUCUACCACGGUUACAGAAUGAUGUGAUCCAAUGUCUUGUCAGUUUCGAGUUGGUGUUCCCGCCAUCCUUCUUCAAUAUUAUGACGCACCUCCUGGUUCACCUAGUCGAAGAGAUUUUCGUUCUCGGUCCUAUAUUUCUACACAAUAUGUUCCCCUUCGAGAGGUUCAUGGGAGUAUUAAAGAAAUAUGUUCGUAACCGUGCUAGGCCAGAAGGAAGCAUCGCCAAGGGCUAUGGAAAUGAGGAGGUAAUUGAGUUUUGUGUUGACUUUGUUCCUGACCUUAAGCCGAUUGGUCUUCCUCGAUCGCGGCACGAGGGGAGACUAAGUGGAAAAGGCACGAUCGGAAGGAAAUCAACGAUAUGUAUGGACGGCCAUUCUCUGACUGAAGCACACCACACUGUACUGACCAAUUCCAGCUUGGUGGCUCCGUACUUUGAGAAACACAAGAAUAUUUUACGCUCGGACAACCCGGGGAAGCCUGAAUCCUGGAUUAGGAAGGCCAACAUGGAGACUUUCGGCAGUUGGUUGAGAAAACAUUUAAUGAAUGACAAUGAUGUUGUAGAUCAGCUGUACAUGUUGGCCAAGACACCAUCUUCGACUAUAACGACUUUCCAAGGGUACGAGAUAAAUGGGAAUACAUUUUACACGAUCGCCCAAGAUAAAAAGAGCACCAACCAAAACAGUGGUGUCCGCUUUGAUGCAGCAACCGAGAAUGGGCAAAAGGUCACAUAUUAUGGUUACAUAGAGGAGAUAUGGGAACUUGACUAUGGACCCUCCUUUAAGGUCCCUUUGUUCCGGUGCAAAUGGUUCAAGCUAACAGGAGGUGGGGUAAAGGUGGACCAGCAAUACGGAAUGACAAUGGUGGAUUUCAACAAUCUUGGUUACCUUGACGAACCAUUCGUCCUAGCGAAAGAUGUCGCUCAGGUUUUCUAUGUGAAGGACAUGAGUAGCAAACCGAGGAAACGGAAAGAUAAAAAAACGAUCAGUGCAUCAUGCGAUGAUCCAAAGCGCCACAUUGUUCUUUCAGGGAAAAGAAACAUCGUGGGAGUGGAGGACAAGACAGACAUGUCAGAAGAUUAUAAUAUGUUUGCUGAAAUUCCGCCCUUCAAAGUGAACAUCGACCCAAGCAUUAAGUUAAAUGAUGAGGAUGCUCCAUGGAUACGGCACAAUCGUAAGCAAGCAGGGACACAAGGGAAGAAAUGA
rnacentral:rRNA from 1 species